CUCUGAACUCCAUGUGCUUCAGUUAACCCUUUCCCAAUGCGGUUCUCCGAUCAUUUUGUUUUAAAAACUAAUGUUUUCAUGAUGGAGACUGCUAGGUCACAUUCCCCAGGUAAAGAUAUUCAAAUUAUAGAAACCAGCCAAAGGUUUCCAUGAGGAAGGAUAUACUGAUUUUGGACUUAGACUUUUUCAAAUCCUUUUUUUUAACUUGAUAUAACAAGAGAGGAGAUCACACUUCUGAGAGGCAGGCUCACAUGUAAGUAUUGCAUUUUUUUAAAUUAUAAAGGGUAGUGAUGGGUUAAAUGGUCUCAAUAGAACAGAUACAUUCAUUGGCUAAAUGUACAUAUCUUGAAUUUAAACAGUUUUUAUGAUUUUAUUAUUAUAUAAUCUUUCUAAUGUACUGGAAGUCUCAGUCCCCCUUCAACUCCCUCUCACUUUUGUUCUUUCACUGAUCCCAAAUAUACAUUCUGAAAUACUUCAAUCUACACCAGUAAUGGAAUGCACUAAGUUGUCAACUUGUUGGCCUCUGAAGUACCAACAUUGUCUCAGCUGUUGAGUCACAAACUGGGGAAAACACAUCUCAAGUAUGUCCGAGGUGGGGCUCUAAUCAAUGUUGGGGAGGGUUUGGGGAUGGUUGCAGGGAGUGGGUGUUCCCUCUUCCCAAUUACCUUUUAACUUUUCUUUUUUAAGAGUUUCAGCCAGGUCUUCAAGCGUUGGUAUAUCUUCGAAAAUUUUUAUUAGUUUGCCCAAACCAGCAUCACCUCGGAACUUUUCUUCCAUCAAGUCAGCAAUCUGAAUUUUGUCAUACUCUUCUCUCAUUUUUAAAUUAAGUUUUAAAUCGUUGCUCAGUAAGGACUUAACCAUUCUAAAAUGAUAAUCAUUGAUGACCUCUAAUCCUUUUAGUAGAACAAUGUUCUUGUAUUUUUUUCCCAUCUUUACAGACAUAAGUGAGCCUACAAGAGAAAAUGGUAUAUACAGUGUUACACAUGUAUACAGACAAUUUAAAAGAUGUAUGCCUAUGUGAGUGAGUGGCCCAUAUGAAAGAGUUGUUCAUGAAUAUGUGUGAUAAAGAAGGACUCAACGACCAAAUGUGUUACUGUAGAAAUUGAGUGAAGAACUGCUGGGUUAGGAAUGUCUAAGAAAUUAUUCCCAUUGAAUGAGAAUAGUUGAGU
rnacentral:lncRNA from 1 species